rnacentral:rRNA from 1 species
CCUACGGGAGGCAGCAGUGGGGAAUUUUGGACAAUGGGCGAAAGCCUGAUCCAGCAAUGCCGCGUGAGUGAAGAAGGCCUUCGGGUUGUAAAGCUCUUUUGUCAGGGAAGAAACGGUGAGGGCUAAUAUCCCUUGCUAAUGACGGUACCUGAAGAAUAAGCACCGGCUAACUACGUGCCAGCAGCCGCGGUAAUACGUAGGGUGCAAGCGUUAAUCGGAAUUACUGGGCGUAAAGCGUGCGCAGGCGGUUUUGUAAGUCUGUCGUGAAAUCCCCGGGCUCAACCUGGGAAUUGCGAUGGAGACUGCAAGGCUAGAAUCUGGCAGAGGGGGGUAGAAUUCCACGUGUAGCAGUGAAAUGCGUGGAGAUGUGGAGGAACACCGAUGGCGAAGGCAGCCCCCUGGGUCAAGAUUGACGCUCAUGCACGAAAGCGUGGGGAGCAAACAGGAUUAGAUACCCUGGUAGUCCACGCCCUAAACGAUGUCUACUAGUUGUUCGGGUUUUAAUUAACUUGGUAACGCAGCUAACGCGUGAAGUACGACCGCCGUGGGGAGGUACGGUCGGUCGAGAAGUUAAACGUUAACUAAAGUUAGUUAAGUUAGUUACGGCGUUGAGGACGUUGCCGACGGACGACGACGAGGGGAGGUUAGGGAG